rnacentral:rRNA from 1 species
CACGUAGGAGGCAAACGUUAUCCGGAUUUACUGGGCGUAAAGCGCGUGUAGGUGGUUCUGUAAGUAGGGCGUGAAAGCUCCUGGCUCAACUGGGAGAGGCCGUUCUAAACUGCAGAGCUAGAGGAUGGUAGAGGGAGGUGGAAUUCCGGGUGUAGCGGUGGAAUGCGCAGAUAUCCGGAGGAACACCAGUGGCGAAAGCGGCCUCCUGGACCAUUCCUGACACUCAGACGCGAAAGCUAGGGUAGCAAACGGG